rnacentral:rRNA from 1 species
GAUGAACGCUGGCGGCGUGCCUAAUACAUGCAAGUCGAGCGAACAGACGAGUAGCUUUCUUCUCUGACGUUAGCGGCGGACGUGUUAGUAACACGUGGAUAACCUACCUAUAAGACUGGGAUAACUUCGGGAAACCGGAGCUCAUACCGGAUAAUAUAUUGAACCGCAUGGUUCAAUAGUGCAAGAGGGUUUUGCUGUCACUUAUAGAUGGAUCCGCGCCGCAUUAGGUAGUUGGUAAGGUAACGGCUUACCAAGGCAACGAUGCGUAGCCGACCUGAGAGGAUGAUCGGCCACACUGGAACUGAGACACGGUCCAGACUCCUACGGGAGGCAGCAGUAGGGAAUCUUGCGCAAUGGGCGAAAGCCUGACGGAGCAACGCCGCGUGAGGGAUGAAGGUCUUCGGAUCGUAAAACUCUGUUAUUAGGAAAGAAAAAAUUUGUAAGAAACUAUGCAGGUCUUGACGGUACCUAAACAGAAAGCCACGGCUAACUACGUG